GGCCAAGUUUUUAAGGGCGCACGGUGGAUGCCUUGGCACCAGGAACCGAUGAAGGACGUGGGAGGCCGCGAUAGUCCCCGGGGAGUCGUCAACCAGGCUUUGAUCCGGGGGUUUCCGAAUGGGGAAACCCGGCAGUCGUCAUGGGCUGUCACCCUUGUCUGAACACAUAGGGCAAGUGGAGGGAACGCGGGGAAGUGAAACAUCUCAGUACCCGCAGGAAGAGAAAACAACCGUGAUUCCGGGAGUAGUGGCGAGCGAAACUGGAUGAGGCUAAACCGUAUACGUGUGAGACCCGGCAGGGGUUGCGUAUGCGGGGUUGUGGGAUCUCUCUUGAUCAGUCUGCCGGCUGGUCGGUGAGUCAGAAACCGUUGAUGUAGGCGAAGGACAUGCGAAAGGUCCGGCGUAGAGGGUAAGACCCCCGUAGUCGAAAC
rnacentral:rRNA from 1 species